rnacentral:rRNA from 1 species
GAUGAACGCUGGCGGCGUGCCUAAUACAUGCAAGUCGAGCGAACGGACGAGAAGCUUGCUUCUCUGAUGUUAGCGGCGGACGGGUGAGUAACACGUGGAUAACCUACCUAUAAGACUUGGAUAACUUCGGGAAACCGUAGCUAAUACCGGAUAAUAUUUUUAACCGCAUGGUUCAAAAGUGAAAGACGGUCUUGCUGUCACUUAUAGAUGGAUCCGCGCUGCAUUAGCUAGUUGGUAAGGUAACGGCUUACCAAGGCAACGAUGCAUAGCCGACCUGAGAGGGUGAUCGGCCACACUGGAAGUGAGACACGGUCCAGACUCCUACGGGAGGCAGAAGUAGGGAAUCUUCCGAAAUGGGCGAAAGCCUGAAGGAGCAACGCCGCGUGAGUGAUGAAGGUCUUCGGAUCGUAAAACUCUGUUAUUAGGGAAGAACAUAUGUGUAAGUAACUGUGCACAUCUUGACGGUACCUAAUCAGAAAGCCACGGCUAACUACGUG